rnacentral:sRNA from 1 species
AUCAACGCCUUAGGAAGCCAGAAGAAGCUUGGUUAGCUUUUUGGAGUCAAAUAUGACUAGAUGACAUGUGUAUGAUUGAGUAUAAAAACUCAAAUCGCAACCGGAUCUUGAAAGCCCAACUAGUGUUUGUUUGUUAGAAGAUACAAAGCCAAAUACUCAUACGGACUUUGGCUACACUAUCAAAGCUUUGAAAAGCAAGAAGAGGCUUAGUUAGUGUUUUAGAGUCAAAUAUGACUUGAUGUCAUGUGUAUUAUUGAGUAUAAGAACUAGAACCACAACCGGAUCUUAAAAGCCUAAGUAGUGUUUCCUUGUUAGAAGAUACAAAGCCAAUAAAUCAUGCGGACUUUAGCUACACCAUCAAAGCUUUGUGAAGCAAGAAGAAGCUUAGUUAGUGUUUUAGAGUCAAAUAUGACUUGAUGUCAUGUGUAUGAUUGAGUAUAACUAGAACCACAACCGGAUCUUAAAACCCAAAGUAGUGUUUCUUUGUUAGAAGAUACAAAGCUAAAGAUUGUUGUGGACUUUGGUAACACUAUUAAAGCGUUGGGAAUCAAGAAGAAGCUUGGUUAGUGUUUUGGAGUCAAAUAUGACUAGAUUUCAUGUGUAUGAUUGAGUAUAAAAACUAGAACUGUAACCCGAUCUUAAAAUCCUAAGUAGUGUUUCCUUGUUAGAAGAUACAAAGCCAAAGACUCAUACGGACUUCAGCUACACCAACAAUGCUUUGAGAAGAAAGAAGAAGCUUGGUUAGUUUUUUGGAAUCAAAUAUGACUUGAUUUCAUGUUU